AGGUGGGUUUUGGGAGGUGAACUGUUUACGAACCGCAGUGUCACGGAACAUCCACGAGGAAAAACCAUGAAACAAUGUGGAGUUAGAAAACGGCGGAGAGCCGGAGAGUGUUUCAGACCUGAAGACCUGAAGAGCUGCGGGGGAACAGUGAGGGUCUGUGGAGGAAUGCUGACGUCAUCCCCGGGGGAACGAUCAGAGACAUCGUGUUCAACAACUCAUCAGUCUGAGGGAGUUUCUGCCUCUUUAUGGAGCCUGAUGGUGAACCACCUGAUUUGGGACCAGACUGGAUUCAGACGAGGAAAAACACUGUUUCAGCAGGAGCUUAUCUUUCAUUGAAUAAACAGGGGCUGGAAGACUGGAUAUUUGUCAUUCAUGCACAUUUACUGAGACGGAAUGACAGCCGCUUGUUACUCAGAGGAGAAAUUAUCAGCAUGAGAACAGGAACAGGAAGAGUGAAGACACAUCACAACAUCAUUAAAUUUUUUCUUUGUCUCUCCAUCCACACAGUAAAGGAAUGGAAACUGGCAUUAUUCAUAACAACCCCAUUAGGGGUGUGGCUUCCAUUUUCAAUCAAACAUAUUUUAAACCCGUUUACAGCCUAAAGGCCACGCCCACUAAACUGUAAAUUACCCAGUGAAAAGCCACACCCACUAAACUCUGAAUAGCCCAGUCAUAGGCCACGCCUAAUAAACGGUGACUGGUCCAGUCAAAGGCCACACCCACUAAAACAAUGAUUGACCCAAACACUGUCCACACUGACUGAAGUGGAAAUGAAACAAAUUGGAGGAGUCCAUUCUUUUUUCUCUUCAUUAGGACUGAUAUAGAGGCCACGCCUCCUCAUAGAAACUGAUACAGAAGCCACGCCCCUUCAAUGAGGCUGAUGGCUCAUUACCUCUUUAUCUGUGUAGAGCUGCUUUUGUAAAAAAGGCUAUAAAAAUAGAAAUAAAUGAACUGAACAGAGGCUAA